rnacentral:rRNA from 1 species
GAUGAACGCUAGCGGCAGGCCUAAUACAUGCAAGUCGAACGGUGUAGCAAUACACAGUGGCGCACGGGUGCGUAACACGUAUGCAACCUACCUUACAUUGGGGGAUAGCCUUUCGAAAGGGAGAUUAAUACCGCAUAAGACAGUAACUAGGCAUCUAGUAGCUGUUAAAGACUUAUCGAUGUAAGCUGGGCAUGCGUCCAAUUAGUUAGUUGGCGAGGUAAUGGCUCACCAAGACGAUGAUUGGUAGGGGAACUGAGAGGUCAAUCCCCCACACUGGCACUGAGAUACGGGCCAGACUCCUACGGGAGGCAGCAGUAGGGAAUAUUGGGCAAUGGGCGCAAGCCUGACCCAGCCAUGCCGCGUGCAGGAUUAAGGUCCUCUGGAUUGUAAACUUCUUUUAUCUGGGACGAAAAAAGGCGAUUCUUCGUCACUUGACGGUACCAGAUGAAUAAGCACCGGCUAACUCCGUGCCAGCCGCCGCGGUAAAAC